rnacentral:rRNA from 1 species
UACGUAGGGGGGCUAGCGUUGUCCGGAAUCAUUGGGCGUAAAGAGCGUGUAGGCGGCCCGGUAAGUCCGCUGUGAAAGUCGGGGGGCUCAACCCUCGAAUGCCGGUGGAUACUGUCGGGCUAGAGUGCGGAAGAGGCGAGUGGAAUUCCUGGUGUAGCGGUGAAAUGCGCAGAUAUCAGGAGGAACACCAAUUGCGAAGGCAGCUCGCUGGGACGUAACUGACGC